GUGGGGAAUAUUGGACAAUGGGGGGAACCCUGAUCCAGCCAUGCCGCGUGUGUGAAGAAGGCCUUUUGGUUGUAAAGCACUUUAAGCGAGGAGGAGGCUACCGAGAUUAAUACUCUUGGAUAGUGGACGUUACUCGCAGAAUAAGCACCGGCUAACUCUGUGCCAGCAGCCGCGGUAAUACAGAGGGUGCAAGCGUUAAUCGGAUUUACUGGGCGUAAAGCGCGCGUAGGUGGCCAAUUAAGUCAAAUGUGAAAUCCCCGAGCUUAACUUGGGGAUUGCAUUCGAUACUGGUUGGCUAGAGUAUGGGAGAGGAUGGUAGAAUUCCAGGUGUAGCGGUGAAAUGCGUAGAGAUCUGGAGGAAUACCGAUGGCGAAGGCAGCCAUCUGGCCUAAUACUGACACUGAGGUGCGAAAGCAUGGGGAGCAAACAGGAUUAGAUACCCCUGUAGUCC
rnacentral:rRNA from 1 species